rnacentral:rRNA from 1 species
GACGAACGCUGGCGGCGUGCCUAACACAUGCAAGUCGAACGGAGUUGAAAGGAGCUUGCUUUUUUCAACUUAGUGGCGGACGGGUGAGUAACGCGUGAGUAACCUGCCUUUCAGAGGGGGAUAACGUUCUGAAAAGAACGCUGAUACCGCAUAAGAUUGUAGUUUCGCAUGGGACAGCAAUCAAAGGAGCAAUCCGCUGAAAGAUGGACUCGCGUCCGAUUAGGUAGAUGGUGAGGUAACGGCCCACCAUGCCGACGAUUGGUAGCCGGACUGAGAGGUUGAACGGCCACAUUGGGACUGAGACACGGCCCAG